UAGCCCUCCACUUUCGGGAUAACACCGGGAAACCGGUGCUAAUACCGAAUAUUGAAACAUAAGUGGCAUCACUGAGUUUUGAAAGAAUUUCGGUGGAGGAUGACUUCGCGGCCUAUCAGCUAGUUGGUGAGGUAAUGGCUCACCAAGGCAACGACGGGUAGCCGGCCUGAGAGGGCGACCGGCCACACUGGGACUGAGACACGGCCCAGACUCCUACGGGAGGCAGCAGUGGGGAAUAUUGGGCAAUGGAGGAAACUCUGACCCAGCGACGCCGCGUGCGGGAUGAAGGCCUUCGGGUUGUAAACCGCUUUCAGUAGGGAAGAAGCGAAAGUGACGGUACCUACAAAAGAAGCACCGGCUAACUAUGUGCCAGCAGCCGCGGUAAUACAUAGGGUGCAAGCGUUGUCCGGAAUUAUUGGGCGUAAAGAGCUCGUAGGUCGUUUGUUACGUCGGAUGUGAAAACCUGAGGCUCAACCUCAGGCCUGCAUUC
rnacentral:rRNA from 1 species